rnacentral:rRNA from 1 species
UACGUAGGGGGCUAGCGUUGUCCGGAAUCAUUGGGCGUAAAGAGCGUGUAGGCGGCUCGGUAAGUCCGCUGUAAAAAGUCAAAGGCUCAACCUUUGAAUGUCAGUGGAUACUGCCGGGCUAGAGUCCGGAAGAGGCGAGUGGAACUCCUGGUGUAGCGGUGAAAUGCGCAGAUAUCAGGAAGAACACCCGUGGCGAAGGCGGCUCUCUGGGACGGUACUGACGCUGAGACGCGAAAGCGUGGGGAGCGAACAGG